GUCUAUGGCCAUGCUACCCUGAACAAGCCUGAUCCCGUCUGAUCUCAGAAGCUAAGCAGGGUCGAGCCUCGUUAGUACCUGGAUGGGAGACCACCUAGGAAGACCAGGUGCUGUAGGUG
rnacentral:rRNA from 1 species